rnacentral:tRNA from 79 species
GCCCUUGUAGCUCAGUUGGUAGAGCACCUGAUUUGUAAUCAGGGGGUCCCGGGUUCGAACCCUGGCGGGGGCACCA